AUUGAACGCUGGCGGCAGGCCUAACACAUGCAAGUCGAACGAGCGGCGGACGGGUGAGUAAUGUAUGGGGAACUGCCCGGUAGAGGGGGAUAACUACUGGAAACGGGCGCUAAUACCGCAUACUAUCCGAUGAACCCAUGUGGGAUUAGCUAGUAGGUGGGGUAACGGCUCACCUAGGCGACGAUCCCUAGCUGGUCUGAGCGGAUGACCAGCCACACUGGAACUGAGACACGGUCCAGACUCCUACGGGAGGCAGCAGUGGGGAAUAUUGCACAAUGGGCGCAAGCCUGAUGCAGCCAUGCCGCGUGUAUGAAGAAGGCCUUAGGGUUGUAAAGUACUUUCAGCGGGGAGGCGUUACCCGCAGAAGAAGCACCGGCUAACUCCGUGCCAGCAGCCGCGGUAAUAC
rnacentral:rRNA from 1 species